rnacentral:lncRNA from 1 species
AUGAAACUUCCCCUCCCUGAGCUCCUCCACCAUCUCUUGUGUCACACCCCUCCUUAUGUUCCUUCUCUAUCUUUUGUAUUCCACCCCUUCUGUCCCUGCUCCUCAGUCUCCCAGCACAUCCCAUCCUUUCUUCUUAUUCUCCUUUAUCCUCAGUCACAUCCCUUUCCACUUUCAUGUGCUCUUCCAUUGGCCAUGGUAUCCCACACCACUUUAUUCUGCUCCUACAUCAUCCACAUAUCUCUUCUCUGCUUCCCAUAUUCCACUGCCCUCCACAGUCUACCUCUCUUUCUCUGCAUUUCCAUUUUCUACCAUAUCCCCCCCUUCCAGAGCUCCUGUUGCCCACUGUUCCCCAUCCCUUCCUCCAUGCUCCUCCAUCACUCAUCAUGUUUCAUUUCCCCUAAUUGCUUCUCCAUCACCCACAACCUCCUAUUCAUUCUUCCUUCCACCGUCCUUCAUUUCUCUAUUCUCCCAUCACCUGCCACCUCCUCUUUCCUUGCUCCCUCUUCACCCACCACAUGCUGUCCCUCCUUGUGUUCUACCAUCACCUACCUCCCAUUCCUCCUUCCUGUGACCUGUCACCUCACCUCUGUGUCUGAUCCCUCUCUGCCAUGUUCCUCCGUCACCCAGCAUGUCCUAUUCAUCCUUACUGUGCUCCUCCAUCACUCACCAUGUCCCCAUUCUUUCUGUGCUUCUCUGUCAGCCACCACAUCCCCUCACUUCUGUCACCUCCGCAUCUCAUUCUUCCCUGCCAUGUUCUCCCAUUGGCCAUCUCCCAUCUCUCCUUCCUGUGUUCCUCCAUCUCCCACCACAUCCCAUCCCAUCCCUUGUUAUCGACAUCCCAUCUUUUCUUCCUCCCACCUCCCUGUCUCAUCUGUCCUCAUCCUCCAUCACCUUGUCCUCAUCUCAACAUCUCACCAUCCCUUCUCAUCCUCCAUGAGCUCCCACCAUCAUCACAUCCUGCUUUAUUUCAUUUCCCCUCCCUAUCUUUAUCCAUCCACCUCUACCUCCUCCAUUCUCCUCACCUCCCUCAUCCUCCUCCACUUCCCCACCUCAAAAUCCAUUCUCACCUCCCACUUUUGCCCUGCACCUCCAGCUGUCAACAUUUCCAACCCCUUCUCCAUUUCCCAUCAUCUUCUCACAUCUUUCUCCAUCUCCCACCAAUCUCUGUCUUUCUCUAACUUUUGA